rnacentral:rRNA from 1 species
GUCGGGAAUAUUGCGCAAUGGAGGAAACUCUGACGCAGUGACGCCGCGUGCAGGAAGAAGGUUUUCGGAUUGUAAACUGCUUUAGACAGGGAAGAUGAUGACAGUACCUGUAGAAUAAGCUCCGGCUAACUACGUGCCAGCAGCCGCGGUAAUACGUAGGGAGCAAGCGUUAUCCGGAUUUAUUGGGUGUAAAGGGUGCGUAGACGGGAAGGCAAGUUGGUUGUGAAAUCCCUCGGCUUAACUGAGGAACUGCAACCAAAACUAUCUUUCUUGAGUGCUGGAGAGGAAAGUGGAAUUCCUAGUGUAGCGGUGAAAUGCGUAGAUAUUAGGAGGAACACCAGUGGCGAAGGCGACUUUCUGGACAGUAACUGACGUUGAGGCACGAAAGUGUGGGGAGCAAACAGG